AAACCAUGCAUCGAACAUUUGCACAACACCUUAAAUUGCUCCCAUAUUUUAAAAAGGUUUCCAUCCUCCAUUUGCUUGAAAGAUGUGAGAUCAUUCCUGAAUUU